UACGGAGUGUGCAAGCGUUGCUCGGAAUCACUGGGCAUAAAGAGCACGUAGGCGGAGAUGCAUGUCGGUGGUGAAAUCCCCCAGCUCAACUGGGGAGCUGCUUCCGAAACUGCAUUUCUUGAGGGUGAGAGGGGAGAGUGGAACUUCUGGUGGAGCGGUGAAAUGCGUAGAUAUCAGAAGGAACACCGGUGGCGAAAGCGACUCUCUGGCUCACAUCUGACGCUGAGGUGCGAAAGCUUGGGUAGCAAACAGG
rnacentral:rRNA from 1 species